rnacentral:rRNA from 1 species
GACGAACGCUGGCGGCGUGCUUAACACAUGCAAGUCGAACGUGAUUUUUAUGGAAAGCCCUUCGGGGACGGAAAUGAAAUGAAAGUGGCGAACGGGUGAGUAACACGUGAGCAACCUACCUUACACAGGGGGAUAGCCGUUGGAAACGACGAUUAAUACCGCAUGAGACCACUAAGACACAUGUUUUGGAGGUAAAAGAUUUAUCGGUGUAAGAUGGGCUCGCGUCUGAUUAGCUAGUUGGAAGGGUAAAGGCCUACCAAGGCGACGAUCAGUAGCCGGUCUGAGAGGAUGAACGGCCACAUUGGAACUGAGACACGGUCCAAACUCCUACGGGAGGCAGCAGUGGGGAAUAUUGCACAAUGGGGGGAACCCUGAUGCAGCGACGCCGCGUGAGCGAAGAAGGUUUUCGAAUCGUAAAGCUCUGUCCUAUGAGAAGAUAAUGACGGAUCAUAGGAGGAGCCCCG